CGAACCGGGGGAACUGAAACAUCUAAGUACCCCGAGGAAAAGAAAUCAACCGAGAUUCCCCCAGUAGCGGCGAGCGAACGGGGAGCAGCCCAGAGCCUGAAUCAGUAUGUGUGUUAGUGGAAGCGUCUGGAAAGGCGCGCGAUACAGGGUGACAGCCCCGUACACAAAAAUGCACAUGCUGUGAGCUCGAUGAGUAGGGCGGGACACGUGGUAUCCUGUCUGAAUAUGGGGGGACCAUCCUCCAAGGCUAAAUACUCCUGACUGACCGAUAGUGAACCAGUACCGUGAGGGAAAGGCGAAAAGAACCCCGGCGAGGGGAGUGAAAAAGAACCUGAAACCGUGUACGUACAAGCAGUGGGAGCACGCUUAGGCGUGUGACUGCGUACCUUUUGUAUAAUGGGUCAGCGACUUAUAUUCUGUAGCAAGGUUAACCGAAUAGGGGAGCCGAAGGGAAACCGAGUCUUAACUGGGCGUUAAGUUGCAGGGUAUAGACCCGAAACCCGGUGAUCUAGCCAUGGGCAGGUUGAAGGUUGGGUAACACUAACUGGAGGACCGAACCGACUAAUGUUGAAAAAUUAGCGGAUGACUUGUGGCUGGGGGUGAAAGGCCAAUCAAACCGGGAGAUAGCUGGUUCUCCCCGAAAGCUAUUUAGGUAGCGCCUCGUGAAUUCAUCUCCGGGGGUAGAGCACUGUUUCGGCAAGGGGGUCAUCCCGACUUACCAACCCGAUGCAAACUGCGAAUACCGGAGAAUGUUAUCACGGGAGACACACGGCGGGUGCUAACGUCCGUCGUGAAGAGGGAAACAACCCAGACCGCCAGCUAAGGUCCCAAAGUCAUGGUUAAGUGGGAAACGAUGUGGGAAGGCCCAGACAGCCAGGAUGUUGGCUUAGAAGCAGCCAUCAUUUAAAGAAAGCGUAAUAGCUCACUGGUCGAGUCGGCCUGCGCGGAAGAUGUAACGGGGCUAAACCAUGCACCGAAGCUGCGGCAGCGACGCUGAUGCGUUGUUGGGUAGGGGAGCGUUCUGUAAGCCUGCGAAGGUGUGCUGUGAGGCAUGCUGGAGGUAUCAGAAGUGCGAAUGCUGACAUAAGUAACGAUAAAGCGGGUGAAAAGCCCGCUCGCCGGAAGACCAAGGGUUCCUGUCUAACGUUAAUCGGGGCAGGGUGAGUCGACCCCUAAGGCGAGGCCGAAAGGCGUAGUCGAUGGGAAACAGGUUAAUAUUCCUGUACUUGGUGUUACUGCGAAGGGGGGACGGAGAAGGCUAUGUUGGCCGGGCGACGGUUGUCCCGGUUUAAGCGUGUAGGCUGGUUUUCCAGGCAAAUCCGGAAAAUCAAGGCUGAGGCGUGAUG
rnacentral:rRNA from 1 species